CCUGUUAGAAAAAAUAAAAGGAAAAGCCAUAAUCAACGGUUGUUAUACUGAGAUGAUUCAAAGCAUCAGAGAAAAAUGCAUGGUAAAUGCAAUACAUAACAACAAAGUAAGGUCGACAUCCAACAUGAAUUAAUUUACAAUGCUAUAGCAAAAGAGGAUUGAGAAGAUUAUUGGAGACUACCUUCUCGAAAACAAGAGUUGGAUUACGAAUCAUGUCACCAGGGGUAGGUUCUAAUUUCUUUGUAGAAAGACUUACUCUGCCUCUUUCUCGGUCAUGGCUCAGUAUCAUGACCUACAUCAUUUGACAUGGUCUCUAAAAUACAUUUCUAAGAAGCAUAAAUUCUUGCUAAGAAUAAACUUGAUAACAUAAGUCACCUUCAGAGUGUCACCAG
rnacentral:lncRNA from 1 species